UCCUGGGCUAAGUUCCAGGAGAUCUCAGAUCACUGGCAUUCUUUCUAGAAGAGUACUCCCAGGCAGCUCAUGGAACUGGGACAAGAACAAUGGAGGCUCGUGUACAACAUAUCAGAAAACUUGAGCAUUGACCCAGGAAGCGUGUGCCACCUUGAAAUGAAGCUUUCUUCAUCUGGAAUGUUGACUAACUGAAUUUAGA